rnacentral:rRNA from 1 species
CACGUAGGGCGCAAGCGUUGUCCGGAAUUAUUGGGCGUAAAGAGCUCGUAGGCGGUCUGUUGCGUCCGCUGUGAAAACUCGGGGCUUAACCCCGAGCCUGCAGUGGAUACGGGCAGACUAGAGGUAGGUAGGGGAGAAUGGAAUUCCCGGUGUAGCGGUGAAAUGCGCAGAUAUCGGGAGGAACACCGGUGGCGAAGGCGGUUCUCUGGGACGGUACUGACGCUGAGACGCGAAAGCGUGGGGAGCGAACAGGG